rnacentral:rRNA from 1 species
GAUGAACGCUGACAGAAUGCUUAACACAUGCAAGUCAACUUGAAUUUGGGUUUUUAACUUAGAUUUGGGUGGCGGACGGGCGAGUAACGCGUAAAGAACUUGCCUCACAGCUAGGGACAACAUUUAGAAAUGAAUGCUAAUACCUGAUAUUAUGAUUUUAAGGCAUCUUAGAAUUAUGAAAGCUAUAAGCACUGUGAGAGAGCUUUGCGUCCCAUUAGCUAGUUGGAGAGGUAACAGCUCACCAAGGCGAUGAUGGGUAGCCGGCCUGAGAGGGUGAACGGCCACAAGGGGACUGAGACACGGCCCUUACUCCUACGGGAGGCAGCAGUGGGGAAUAUUGGACAAUGGACCGAGAGUCUGAUCCAGCAAUUCUGUGUGCACGAUGAAGUUUUUCGGAAUGUAAAGUGCUUUCAGUUGGGAAGAAAGAAAUGACGGUACCAACAGAAGAAGUGACGGCUAAAUACGUGCCAGCAGCCGCGGUAAUACGUAUGUCACAAGCGUUAUCCGGAUUUAUUGGGCGUAAAGCGCGUCUAGGUGGUUAUGUAAGUCUGAUGUGAAAAUGCAGGGCUCAACUCUGUAUUGCGUUGGAAACUGUAUAACUAGAGUACUGGAGAGGUAAGCGGAACUACAAGUGUAGAGGUGAAAUUCGUAGAUAUUUGUAGGAAUGCCGAUGGGGAAGCCAGCAUACUGGACAGAUACUGACGCUAAAGCGCGAAAGCGUGGGUAGCAAACAGG